UGGUGCCAGCAGCCGCGGUAAUUCCAGCUCCAAUAGCGUAUAUUAAAGUUGUUGCAGUUAAAAAGCUCGUAGUUGAAUUUCGGGGUUAGUAAGUUGGUCAUGCCUCCGGUAUGUACUGGCUUUACUGAUUCCUCCUUCUUGAUGAACUGUAAUGUCAUUAAUUUGGUGUUGCAGGGAAUCAGGACUGUUACUUUGAAAAAAUUAGAGUGUUUAAAGCAGGCAUACGCUUGAAUACAUUAGCAUGGAAUAAUGAAAUAGGACGUUUGAUCCUAUUUUGUUGGUUUCUAGGAUUGACGUAAUGAUUAAUAGGGAUAGUUGGGGGCAUUAGUAUUCAAUUGUCAGAGGUGAAAUUCUUGGAUUUAUUGAAGACUAACUACUGCGAAAGCAUUUGCCAAGGAUGUUUUCAUUAAUCAAGAACGAAAGUUAGGGGAUCGAAGACGAUCAGAUACCGUCGUAGUCUUAACCAUAAACUAUGCCGACUAGGGA
rnacentral:rRNA from 1 species